rnacentral:rRNA from 1 species
ACGCACGCUGGCGGCGUGCUUAACACAUGCAAGUCGAACGGAAAGGCCCUGCUUUUGUGGGGUGCUCGAGUGGCGAACGGGUGAGUAACACGUGAGUAACCUGCCCUUGACUUUGGGAUAACUUCAGGAAACUGGGGCUAAUACCGGAUAGGAGCUCCUGCUGCAUGGUGGGGGUUGGAAAGUUUCGGCGGUUGGGGAUGGACUCGCGGCUUAUCAGCUUGUUGGUGGGGUAGUGGCUUACCAAGGCUUUGACGGGUAGCCGGCCUGAGAGGGUGACCGGCCACAUUGGGACUGAGAUACGGCCCAGACUCCUACGGGAGGCAGCAGUGGGGAAUAUUGCACAAUGGGCGGAAGCCUGAUGCAGCAACGCCGCGUGCGGGAUGACGGCCUUCGGGUUGUAAACCGCCUUCGCCUGUGACGAAGCGUGAGUGACGGUAAUGGGUAAAGAAGCACCGGCUAACUACGUG